AACGAACGCUGGCGGCAUGCCUAACACAUGCAAGUCGAACGAGACCUUCGGGUCUAGUGGCGCACGGGUGCGUAACGCGUGGGAACCUGCCCUUAGGUUCGGAAUAACUCCCCGAAAGGGGUGCUAAUACCGGAUAAUGUCUUCGGACCAAAGAUUUAUCGCCUUUGGAUGGGCCCGCGUUGGAUUAGCUAGUUGGUAGGGUAAAAGCCUACCAAGGCGACGAUCCAUAGCUGGUCUGAGAGGAUGAUCAGCCACACUGGGACUGAGACACGGCCCAGACUCCUACGGGAGGCAGCAGUGGGGAAUAUAGGACAAUGGGCGAAAGCCUGAUACAGCAAUGCCGCGUGAGUGAUGAAGGCCUUAGGGUUGUAAAGCUCUUUUACCCGGGAUGAUAAUGACAGAACCGGGAGAAUAAGCUCCGGCUAACUCCGU
rnacentral:rRNA from 1 species